AUGGUGCCACCUGCCCCUGGUCGCUACCCAGUUGCGAGUGCGCCAUCCUGCCGCACGGACCCACGCCCUCUCCCUGUUGAAGGCUGAAGGGCGCCAUCCACACCAGCCUUGUGACGACAAACUACUUGCUCGGGCCUCUGUAUGACCAGGAAGAGGGAGGUGAUUUAAGGCGGCGACAUGACGUGGCUGAGGAACAGGGCGGAGUGGCUGGCAGACCAUGAGGUGGGCGCUACGCUAAUGAACAUCAUCCUCGCUCUCGUACUGGCCGUGGGCAUCUCAUGGUUCAUUAAGAGGCGUCGUAAGGUGUGGCUGCUGAACCAACUUCCGGGUCCCAAGGGCGUCCCCAUCUUGGGUUCGGCUCUCGAGGUGAACUGUGAUAACGUGGAACUCUUCCGCCUGAUCGACUCAUACUGCGACAUGGGCGAGGUGGUGCGAGUGUGGUUUGGCUAUUACCCGGUGGUGAUACUGACCAGCCCGCGGGCCUUCGAGGCCUUGCUGAGCAGCCAGAAACACUUAGACAAGAGUACUGACUACGAGUACCUUCUUCCCUGGCUGGGCACUGGCCUACUCACUUCCACGGGCAGUAAGUGGCACUCUCGCCGUAAGCUGCUCACUCCAGCCUUCCACUUCAGCAUCUUGGACAACUUUGUGGACGUGUUCAACAGACAGAGCAGCAAGAUGGUCAGCAAGCUGAGGGACAAUGCCAAUGGGGAGGCCUUUGAUAUCUUUCCCUUCAUCACCCUCUGCACUCUGGACAUCAUAUGCGAGGCCGCGAUGGGACGAUGUGUGAACGCUCAGGACAGAGAGGACUCAGAGUAUGUCCGCGCGGUGAAGAGGAUCAAUUACUUAAUUCAGCGGAGGAUAAUGAUAGUGUGGCAGCAACCAGACUUCAUGUUUCGCCUGCUGGGCAUCAAGAAGGAGCAGGACGCGUGCCUGGCCGUGCUGCACAGUUUCACGCGGGACGUCAUCAGGGAGCGGCGGGAGCUGCACCGCGAGACCAAGGCAAGGGAACAGCAGCAGGAGCACUCGGAGGAAGAGCGGCUAUUGGGCAAAGGAAAGCGGCGCCUUGCCUUCCUGGACCUGCUGCUGGAGGCCUCGGAGGACGGCAAGGUUCUCUCUGACGAGGACAUUAGGGAGGAGGUGGAUACGUUCAUGUUCAGGGGACAUGACACCACCUCCAGCGGAAUCAACUGGGCCCUGUACCUGAUGGGACGCCACCCAGAGGAACAGGCACGGGUACAGGAGGAGCUGGACAGUAUCUUCGGGGACAGUGAUCGGCCAGUCACCAUGGAGGACCUGAGGCAAAUGAAGUAUACCGAGAACUGCAUCAAGGAGUCCCUCAGGCUGCUUCCCUCCGUCCCCUUCAUCGGCAGGAAGCUGAAAGAAGACAUCGUUAUCAGUGAGACACGGAAUACUUUUGUUUCCUGAUAAAGAGAAUGCAUUAUGGCGAUAUAUGUUGUAUAAAGGACGAUCUCUCUCUCUCUCUCUCUCUCUCUCUCUCUCUCUCUCUCUCUCUCUCUCUCUCUCUCUCUCUCUCUCUCUCUCUCUCUCACAUAUGCCUAUGCUGACUUGUUAGGUGAUCGGACGCCGGACGGUGACAUAAUGAACUACAAACAAAGGCUGGAAACGGGAUCUUCUUGGGAACGAAUGUUAAUCAUUAGAUUCCUUGCCGCUCUCUUCAUAUAUUCACAGGCAGGAGGAACUGUAUGAGAAAUAAUACGGAAUGAAUAAUUUCUAUGAACAUAAACUAACAUCUACAUUGAUAAAAUAGUAGCUCAGAUAACAAGACUGGAAGAGGAUACAGACAGAGUCGAGCAUAACCUGAAAUACGCAUCAGGUGUAAUACCGAGAAGUCUAUACAUCAGCCCGCCUCGCCUUCAAAAUGUUCAAGUUUUCUGAGAUGGCGCUCCUGUCGUUCCCACUUGAAUCUCGCGCGGCACGUGUGGUGAGCGCAUGAGAUGCUGGGACAGGCGUCAUUCAACCGGCGGCGAGCUUGCAGGUGAAAGAUAACCAGCGCAUCCCGGGAGGCGUCAAUUUCUCCCUGGCAAUAUACAAGCUGCACCGGAAUCCUGAGCAGUUUCCUGACCCUGAGAAAUUUGAUCCCGACCGCUUCCUGCCCGAGAACGCAGCCAAGCGUCAUCCUUAUGCCUAUGUACCCUUCAGCGCCGGGCCCAGGAACUGUAUAGGUCAAAAGUUCGCUCUGCUGGAGGAGAAGGUAGUGGUGAGCAGUGUAUUGCGUAACUUCCGGGUGGUAAGUGACAUCCCAGAGACUGACCUCAAGCUGACGGGCGAGCUGAUACUGCGACCCCGCGGUGGCAACCCCAUCAAGCUGCUGCCCCGCCGCUCCUGAGCCAAGCGUUCCGCCCAUCUGUGGCUUUGUGCCUCCUGCAGCAUUCACGCCACGCUACCUGGGCUUGAUGCUGCUGCAGGUGUCCGAAAUGGUCUUUAUGUUGCAUUGCUGAUGCUUACUAAUUUCAUGACUGCUAAGAAAAAAAAAAAUCAGUAUUUUCAAGUGCUUACAAUAAAAUUAUAAUCUAAAAA